CUAGUUGUGCCCACUGGUGUUU
rnacentral:miRNA from 1 species